CAGGGAGACAACAAAAUGUUUAAUAUUAUUAUUUUGUCACCUUAGGUCGAUCGGUAUCUCACGUUUUUAAUUUAUUAAGAAUUUCAUUUCCUAAGUUUUUCUAGGUCACACCCAUUAUUUUUCCUGGGCCAUUAGCUCAGGUGGUUAGAGCGCACCCCUGAUAAGGGUGAGGUCCCUGGUUCAAGUCCAGGAUGGCCCAUAUCUCUAUGUUGGGGGUAUAGCUCAGUUGGUAGAGCGCCUGCUUUGCAAGCAGGAUGUCAGCGGUUCGAGUCCGCUUACCUCCACUGAUCACCACCUCUUCCAUAAUUGGUAAAAAGGAAAUUUUUUGAGUUGUGAUCAAAUUCUGAAAGAAUCUAGCUUCCUAAUGAAAUCAUUAAGAUGCUGGACUCAUUGAAUUAAUUUCAUUGUUUUCAGAGAACCUUGACAACUGCAUAGAUUAUUUUUAAAGACAAUAAGCAUCUUUAAUGAUGCAGAUUUAUUAUUUGUGCAAAUGCAUUAAUAACAAUUCUAUUAAGCUGAUGCUUCAAUAUUUGAAGUUAUU
rnacentral:tRNA from 1 species